GACACGCGGCCUGGGGAGAGGACAGCAGAGGUGACCACGAGGCCCCAGAACCGUGGGGGGGGGGUUGUGGAGACAGCCAGCAGCAGCAGAGCCCUCGUGCAGGGCAGGGCGAGGGGAGCCCCAGCCCGCCAGCUCCUCAGGCUCCCCAGUCCACAAGGCACCUGGACUCGGGGUGAGGCCUCCUGCCACCCCAGGGCCCCCAACAAGCCAUGCAACAGCCCCGGGGCCCCCUUGAGGUGUUUUUGUUUGUUUCUUUUUUGCCUUUUGGGCCACACCCGCGACACAUGGAAGUUCCCAUGCUUGGGGUUGAAGCGGAGCUACAGCUGCCAGUCUACACCACAGCCACAGCAACACCAGAUCCAAGCCGCGUCUGUGACCUACACCACAGCUCACGGCAAUGCCAGACCCUUAAUCCACUGAGCGAGGCCAGGGAUUGACCCCGCAACCUCGUGGUUCCUAGUCAGGUUCAUUACUGCUGCACCAGGACGGGAGCUCCCUUGUCUGUUUUUGUUUUUUGUUUUCCAGCAGGAUUGCAUCUUGGGGCCCCUCCCCGGGGUUUUACUUCUAAUCCCUGGUGGAACAGCGCCACACCCUGGAGGGACGGCAGGGUUUUAGCCAAGAGUCAGGAGGCUUCCCAGACAGAGCAGGACCGGCAGCCCCUCCCAGGGCGGCCCCAGGCUGCGGGAGGGGCCUCUGCCGGCUUCGAUCACAGGGCCGGGUGCUUAGGGGCUCUCACGCCACCAGAGGUGUCUUGGCGCUGGUGAGUGGACCAUUUGAGAACCAUGGGGGAGGAGCCCCGGCCCCUGCUGGUGCCUUGUUCCUUGUUGCGAGCCUUUCAAAGGGGGCUGCUUCCUUUCACAUUUGAAAUUUGACUCUCAACCUUUGAAAGCGGAGAAAAGUCCACCCCAGAGGUGGCUGCUCUCUGGUUGUAAACAGAGCUGUGCUCUGCCUGCAGACAGCGAAGCAAAAGAGAAGGUGUGACAUUCGGGGAACCUCUGCUGGGGGCCCCCGGGUCAGGCAUCCCGCAGACCCUCCUCUGGAGCAGCCAGGCCACCGUUUCCCCGAACAGCUGGCGUCACGCACUUUCUCAGGCUUCUCGCCAAAGGAUGUUUCCACCUGUUUGUCCAUGUUCAGUCCCACUUGAGACAUGAGGCAAGAAGCUGGGCCGUCUGCACAGCAGGCCCAACACCCCGCCCCAGACGUGUUAUCAAGUGUCAUCGACCUGCCCCAAGAGUAGGGGUCUCUGGGAGCCCAGCGUUUCUGCACACUUUGCAAACAGAGGCAGCAAAGGAAAGAGAAGAAAGAACUAAGAAAAAACGAGGAGCCUCGUGACAUUGGGACCACAGGAAACCACCCACCAGUCAUGCUGGAGCCUCGGAGGGAAAAGUUCGUCUGGGGCAGAAGCAGGCAGUUUGAAGAAGCAGAGCUUCUCUGGAAGCUGCAGGGCAUCCGGGGGCUGCCCCCUGAGGAAGGAGGCCAGCCCUCAGCUGUCUGCUUUCCUUUCUGCACCUCCUGGCGUCCAAGCAGCUCCGCCUGCAUUCAGGGCUCCCGCAGGGCCCACCUGGACCCAGGGGCUUGCGGGACUGGCCCACGGCCAGUGCAGAUGUCCUGAACUAACACAACUGGACAGCCUUGCUGGUGUGAGCUGCCUGCCGCCAGGCGUGUGUGAACACAGCUGUGCUCGCAGGGAGCAGGAGGAACAAGUCUAGAGAAGCCGCACCCACUCCCGAGGGGAGCAGAGCCCCGGGCGCACCUUGUCCACGUGCGCGUGCCAGUACUCGUCGUGCGCCGUCCGGGCCGCCGUGCUGUUGAUGCGGGAGAAGAAGGUGGGCUUGGUCAGGUGCAGCGAGGACGCGCUGAUGCCAAACGCCUGGGCGAUCGCCAGCUGGACCUUCUGCCGCACGUUCCUGCGAAGGGGCACUGUCACCCGGGGCAGCGCGGCCACGUGGGAGGGCUCUCCGUGGCCCCUGGGGCCACACGCUGUCACGCCCAGGCCGGGAGGGCCCACAGGAACUUCGGCCCAACGCCGGCCCUGCCCCCGGAGAGAGCCAGGAAGGGGCCAGACGGAGGCUGCGCCGCACGCUCCGCACUCAGAGCCCCACCGCCGCCGCCCUCCCACUGCUGACCCGGCCUGCCCCUCACCGGUACAACCGGAAGUCCUCUUCCGAGAAGAUAUUUUGGAUUUUAUCCCCAAAGUACCUGGGAAAAUAAGGAGGAUUAACAAACGUGA